AGUGAACGCUGGCGGUAGGCCUAACACAUGCAAGUCGAACGGCAGCACAGUAAGAGCUUGCUCUUACGGGUGGCGAGUGGCGGACGGGUGAGGAAUACAUCGGAAUCUACUCUUUCGUGGGGGAUAACGUAGGGAAACUUACGCUAAUACCGCAUACGACCUACGGGUGAAAGCAGGGGAUCUUCGGACCUUGCGCGAUUGAAUGAGCCGAUGUCGGAUUAGCUAGUUGGCGGGGUAAAGGCCCACCAAGGCGACGAUCCGUAGCUGGUCUGAGAGGAUGAUCAGCCACACUGGAACUGAGACAGGGUCCAGACUCCUACGGGAGGCAGCAGUGGGGAAUAUUGGACAAUGGGCGCAAGCCUGAUCCAGCCAUACCGCGUGGGUGAAGAAGGCCUUCGGGUUGUAAAGCCCUUUUGUUGGGAAAGAAAAGCAGCAGGUUAAUACCCCGCUGUUCUGACGGUACCCGAAGAAUAAGCACCGGCUAACUUCGUG
rnacentral:rRNA from 1 species